AGUAAAGUCAGCUAGCACAAGCUAUUGGGCCCAUACCCCAAAAACGUUGGAAAUAUCCAUCCUUUACUA
rnacentral:tRNA from 1 species